UACGUAGGGUGCAAGCGUUUGUCCGGAAUUAUUGGGCGUAAAGAGCUCGUAGGCGGUUUGUCGCGUCUGCUGUGAAAACCCGAGGCUCAACCUCGGGCCUGCAGUGGGUACGGGCAGACUAGAGUGCGGUAGGGGAAAUUGGAAUUCCUGGUGUAGCGGUGGAAUGCGCAGAUAUCAGGAGGAACACCAAUGGCGAAGGCAGAUCUCUGGGCCGUAACUGACGCUGAGGAGCGAAAGCAUGGGGAGCGAACAGG
rnacentral:rRNA from 1 species